rnacentral:rRNA from 1 species
UACGGGGGGGGCAAGCGUUGUUCGGAAUUACUGGGCGUAAAGGGCUCGUAGGCGGCCAACUAAGUCAUACGUGAAAUCCCUCGGCUUAACCGGGGAACUGCGUCUGAUACUGGAUGGCUUGAGAUUGGGAGAGGGAUGCGGAAUUCCAGGUGUAGCGGUGAAAUGCGUAGAUAUGCGGAGGAACACCGAUGGCGAAGGCAAUCCCCUGGGCCUGCACUGACGCUCAUGCACGAAAGCGUGGGGAGCAAACAGG